UACGGGGGGGGCAAGCGUUGUUCGGAAUUACUGGGCGUAAAGGGCUCGUAGGUGGCCAACUAAGUCAGACGUGAAAUCCCUCGGCUUAACCGGGGAACUGCGUCUGAUACUGGAUGGCUUGAGUUCGGGAGAGGGAUGCGGAAUUCCGGGUGUAGCGGUGGAAUGCGUAGAGAUCCGGAAGAACACCGGAGGCGAAGGCGGCUUGCUGGGCGUAGUCUGACGCUGAGGCGCGAAAGCGUGGGGAGCGAACAGG
rnacentral:rRNA from 1 species